UGUUUGGGAGUAAAAGCCAACUCAUAUGAUUUCAACAUCACGUACUAUUGUUAUGACAUGUCAUGAGACCGGUCUGGUUCUACCUUAGGCUAAGACUAGAACACUUGCUCUGACAUCUUGAGUUGUGCUAAUGCCGGCACCGCAUUUUCGAUUCUGACUUAUAUUGUUCUUCGUAUCUUAAUGUCAUUUUUCUACCCAUCUUUUCUUUGUUUUCACCAAUAAAAGUCAGAUAAAAAUAUCCAAGCCCUGACCUGAAUAACUCCAUGAUUUCCAUGUUAACUGACCUCAGAGCUAUCGUAAAAGUCUCUAUUAACAUGGCAUUGUUUGUUGCCUGAAUACAGUAUAUGCAAUCCAGUUGCGUUAGGCCUUCAAGCAAAACAUUGACGCAAAUCAAAUGAUCUGGAAACCCCAGGCACUGCUGGAAACUGGAUCAUAUUUAAAUGGGACUGUGAGACAUAUCAUGUGUCAAUGUUUACAUGUACAAUGUUUGCAGCUUUCGUUUUCAAUUUGAUUAAGGAAAACUAGGUGACUGCAACAUGCAACACUUGUGUUAACAUGCACUUAUCUCAGCCUCAGACGGACCAACCCAAGGUCCGUCCAUGAAGCAUCUGAUGUAUAUUACACAAAAAUAUGGUAAGCAUUGAUCUGGCAAGCUCUAAUCUGAUUGGCUGUCUUAACACAACUUCCAUGAUAAAGGGCACACAAUGUCUUAUAUCAAUCCAGGUUGAUAAAUCAAGCACUUUGAGACAUGAAAUGAUCACUUGAUGUGAAUUUUAUUUUCUGCUAGUGCAGUAUUGUAGGCUAUAUUGCACUUUGUUCACUGUGGAUUUAGUUUAUAUUUGGUCUUUUGGACAGGUAGAAAAAUCACAGUCUGUUCACUUACCACUGUUUUCCCAGUGCUUUCUUUACAACAGUUCAUAGAGAAGAGCAUACUGUUCAUACUGGGUCUUACAGUCUAAGUGGGCGGAUCUUUUCAAGAAUAAGCUGCGGACCAGAACUUAUGCUGCUCAGGUAGACAUUAUCAAAGAUCUGGCUAAGUGAGACAACCUUAAUGCAAGGACGCAUACACCAUCGCUUGGCUAAAGCAUUGCCAACAUGUGGUCCAAUUAAACAUGCUUAAUGUACGUUGUUGCACUACUUUGGCGGUAACAAACCUCAGUACUCAAGGGGGUGAUAGAGUUAUCACCAAAAGUCUGUGCCAUUAACUGGACGUGUUAAUAUUCAGGCAAGUUGCUAAAAUAUUGACUUUAACAUACUUGCUCCAUUAUAUUCUCUUCAGACUGUUACUCUGCCAUGACUGUACUUGGUUUGAAAGAGAAAACCCAUUGUAGAAGCUGUCGGUUCACACUGGUGUCUGCUAUACCGCCCCUCACAGCAACUUUGUGAAUGCAACGCGUACUUGUGUUGUGUUAUGAAUUGUGGUCUGACACAUUUGGGAACACAACAAGUCACAAGCUUGUGCUCGAGUAGCCAUAAAUGCCACAUUUACAUACUAACUUACUGAACAUUUCUUUCUUAACAUGCACAGAACCUCACUGAAAACAAGCCAUUUUUGCAGAGUGAUGGAUUGGACUUUUCACGAUUCAUUCCCACGCUUCUUAAUUGUGGCUCUUGUGUGAUGAAACAUAAAUGGUGCUUCACAUUAACAAGCACUUUAUGGAGAGAAGGAAGUUCAAAUGGACAAAGUUGUUUUACAAAAACAAACAAAGCUGACCUCAGUGUGCAAGCCUGCCCCGGGUUCGGAGACACAUACCUUCCGGCUUUGAUCCUGAACUAGUGGCUCUGAGCCAUUACAAGGUCAUGGAGGUUCACACAAAGCAUUCCUUGACUUAAUAGGUCACUACACUAAUAGAUUCUGUAGAUAUGGGGGUGGGGGGUACUAGACACAGGUAUGCAGUGUCUCAGAGGGGUUGUGACCCUCAAAGUACAGGAAGCAAGGGCCUCUCACAUUUGCAAGUUACUGUGAGAAAAUAUCUUACAUUACAAAGUGCCUUAUACAUUUAUUAAAAAGCAUACAGUAAGUGUCUCACAAUGCAACUAAAUAGCUACUUACUAGUUGUUGUUAGCGCAAGCAUGAAUAUUACUGUUGCUCAUCCUUGGGGUGAAGGAUUCGUUUCUCAUCAAAAUAUAAUUUGCCUUCAGAAGAUUUGGAAUAUGAUGCACAAGCAGCAUGAAUUACUUUAUGAUACUUUUAGUCUCCUGCUUAGUUUUAGUUAUAAAGUUUAUUAACUUGUAGUAAGAAAGUACAUAUUGUAGUAACGUAUAACAUUAUAAAAGAUAUUCCUUUGUAGUAUUUAUUGGCAUGACUUAUUUUUCAGUUUAAUUUGAACUUUGACCUAUUAAGGAUACUUAACCAUCAGUUCUGGAUGGAGAUGUAGACAAACGCUUUGAAACUGGCUCUUCUCCAAGCCUCCAACUUAAGAAUUUUAAAGAGCUGAAGUAGACCGGUUAAACAGUGCUGGGUCUGUAGGACAAAACCUUACAAGACUAAUGGUAAAACUAACUCAAGGUAAUCAAUCAGCUUUUCACAAGACCAGUGUGUGGAAUGGGGCCCCUCCUUGGCUGUUUUUCAUGUUGACAUACAGUAUGAGGAUGACAGAUUAAAGAAAGGAGCUAAAUAAAGAAUACACCUCACUUUCAUUGGCAAAAAGAUAGCAAACACCUGAAGGGAUGUGCGAGGAUGUGGAGUUUUUUGGACUAUUGAAUCUACAUGCUUAGUUCAAAGGAUAGUUUACUGUGAAGAGGAGGAGGCCAUGGCCGGGCCGUGAGAUAAAGUGAGAGAGAGAUAAAGGGGAGCCGAGAGAGAGAGAGAGACUUGUGGCCAUGCUGUGUGUGUGUUUAUGUUUGUUUUAUGUUGUUUUAAGUCUAUGUCUGUCAUUAAAGUUAACAUUGACUGUUCUGCUGGUUCCCGCCUCCUCCUUGCCCACUGUUGCAUUGGUGCCGAAACCCGGGAAGGAGGAGGGAUGCGCUGUCGCGGAGUCCUUGCAGCAGCCAUCCUGACAGGGUCGCAGCCGCGGCCGUCUGCCUGGUACGAAGGGGUCGUUGUCAUCCACAGAGAAAGGGGGAGGAGCCGUUCCAUCCACCAGGGGUCGGCGUACUUGCUGCCAUCCGCCAGGGGAGGUGCGAGCUGUCAUCUGCCAGAGGUCAGAGGAGUGGCUGAGGACCAGGGCUCCAGAAUGGUGGGGAAGACCUGCCAGCAGGCAAGGCAGAAAGGUCAACACAACCCCUCCAGGAAGGAAGGGGAGUACGUCAUGCCUGAGUCAGGCAAUGGAGGAGAGUGACGAGGAGGAGGGUGGGGCCAGGCCCUGAGGAUACACACCCGGCCCUGAAUCGGGCCAAUCAGCAGGGAGGGGGAUAUAAAUGAGCCGGAGGUGCCAGUUAAGAGAGAGAGAGAGACACAUGAGGCCACUGUGUGUGUCUAUGUGUUUGUGCUCAAGUUGAUUUGAGUUAAUUUAUGUUAUUAAAACUUACAUUGACUGUUCAGCCGGUUCCUGCCUCCUCAUUGCACACCUUACCCUGUUACAUUCACCCAACUGGAACAAGAAGAGAGCA